AGUGAGGAAUUUUCCACACUGGGCGAAAGCCUGAUGGAGCAAUACCGCGUGAGGGAUGACUGCCCGUGGGUAUUAAACCUCUUUUCUCAAGGAAGAAGUUCUGACGGUACUUGAGGAAUAAGCACCGGCUAACUCUGUGCCAGCAGCCGCGGUAAUACAGAGGGUGCAAGCGUUGUCCGGAAUGAUUGGGCGUAAAGCGUUCGUAGGUGGUUCUUAAAGUCUUCUGUCAAAUCCCAGAGCUCAACUCUGGACAGGCAUUGGAGUACUCAAGGACUAGAGAAAGGUAGAAGUAGAGGGAACUCUCAGUGGAGCGGUGAAAUGCACAGAGAUUGGGAAGAACACCAGUGGCGAAAGCGCUCUACUAGGCCUUAUCUGACACUGAGGGACGACAGCUAGGGGAGCGAA
rnacentral:rRNA from 1 species